GAUCCUGGCUCAGGAUGAACGCUAGCUACAGGCUUAACACGUGCAAGUCGAGGGGAAACGACAUCGAAAGCUUGCUUUUGAUGGGCGUCGACCGGCGCACGGGUGAGUAACGCGUAUCCAACCUGCCCAUCACUUGGGAAUAACCUUGCGAAAGUAAGACUAAUGCCCAAUAAUAUCCCACGAAGGCAUCCGAAUGGGAUUAAAGAUUUAUCGGUGAUGGAUGGGGAUGCGUCUGAUUAG
rnacentral:rRNA from 1 species